CAGGAUGGAGUGCUGACUUGGGACAUCUGGGGUGCACCAGUCACUCCAAGCAGCCAAGAGAGGCAGUGCCUUAGGAAACCAGCUCCCUCGAAGAGGCUUUCAGCCAAGGACAUGUAGUUAAUGGAAGUGGCUGUUAGGCAGAUCAGAACCUAAUCUUGAAAUGGAUCAUAUCACUAUUUGGAAAUACAGAAAAGAAAAUGCUUAUAAAGGUUCCAUGGGAUGUAAGCUCCAUGACAGCAGGUGUCCAGUUGGGCUUCAAAAGCAUCUCUGGAUGCUGGGGAGAUCCACUGAAUUGCAAGAUCUUAUAAGACCUUGCAACAAUUUGGUGGAUGCAUCUUCUCUGCUGUGUCAACUCUGCCAUUGGUAGUUGAGUGAGUCCCCCACCCCUCCAGGCUGAUGGUGACCCUGGGAUCUAACAUGGAAGUGUCCUAAAAGGAUCUGCAAAACCCUUGACAUGUUACUGUGGCAACAGAACCAAGUUGGUAAGUUCAUGAAUGAACCCCAUUGUGCUCUCCAAAGCCCCCUCUAGCUUCAUUCUUUGUAGCGUUUGGAUCUCACCCUAGCCUGGCAUUCAAUUCAUAAGAAUGGGGCUGGUCCUGGUCUAUGCUCAAUGGCCCUCAACUCCCUACCCCACUGCAGACUUUGGUGCCAGCCCUCCCUCAGCUUUUCUAAGCUGCCCAAGCCUUUGUGGCUCAACCAUUUCCCUUCCUUUCUCAAAGGUUCUCCAAUGGUAGGAGGUCCCUCUAGUACACCUCCCUACCAAGAGUCAGGUGGGCCACCAUCUCAGUUUUCCUCCUGAUAGUCCCCCUCCAUUGUGUCCUGCUCCCUUUACCCUAUUCCAUUCUACUGCAGUAGGAGGAGUCUUACUACAUGGUGUAUGUGGCCAUGUCGCUCCCUGCAUCACAACCCUCAGAGGGUCCCCUUCCUUUCAAGAGUGUGUCCCAAAUCCUUCACACAGUUUGCAACAGUCUUCAUGGCCUACAGAUGGGGCACCGUCUCACCUCGUCUCACACUGGCUGCCUCUGCACAAACUCUUCUUAGCCAUCUGACCAAUCAGGAGAGGCCAGACUACGCCACGGGCAUUUCUCUCCAGGCUUGGCUCAUUUUGUCCCCUUUGUCCGAAUCCUCCCAUCUCCUAUUCCCACACAGGGCCCUCUCUCCUCCUUCCCUUCCUGUCAAUCACAUCACAAGCAUUCACUAUUAUUUACAUGAAGGUUCACCAAGGGCUUCCCGAUCCUCCAGGUUCACAAAGUUUUGUGGGAUGCUAACUUUGGGACAAUCUUAAAGAAGUUUUUAAAAAUACCCACCUAAAUCAACAUUCUGGGACUGUGAUCCUAAAGCAUGAAGCUCUUUCAUGUUCCAAUCUAGUUUCUAGCAGCAAGGGUGAGAAUGAAUAUCCUGAGAAAAACUAUUGUUUAAAUAAUUCACAUGCGGAACAGGGAGCAGUCAGAUACCGGUAUUCAUUCUCUUACAACACCCUAGGAAACACUGCCACCAAUUUCCAGAUGGUAGCAAUGAGGCAAGACAGUGGAUUAAGUGUCCCUUUCUAGCAAAGAGUAAACAAGGUGACAAAUGAUGUGGAGAACUGAGGCACGUUCACACCUGUGAGCACCAUGAAGCAUAGGGUAUUCUCACCUGGAUGGGAGUGGAUGGACCAGGUGUACUUAUACCAAGCAGAGGACAAAGGAUUUUAUUUCCCCAGCUACUGGAGAAGGGAAUACAUCAUCACCCUCAGCAGACAGCAAGAAAAGAAGAAAAAGAAUGAGACUAUAUCAAGGAGGCUUGGUAUUGAUUUUAAAAUCCUAGCUGACACGAAAAUGAUUUGAGUCCAUUUCCAUUUUGCAGCUGAAGCUGAGUGCAUUCUCUACCUUGGCCUGAACCCCAGAGCAGAGUUCAUUAAGAAUCCCCCCCAGCUGACAUUCUAAUCCUCAUUUUCAAACUGCCACACGCCUGUGUUUCUCAAGCAAGGACAUGUGUGUGAGGGGUACAGUGUGGCUUCCUGGGUCUCAUCUGGGAAGCAGUCAAGCUAGCCAAUUUGGGGAGCCGUAUUUCAAGGCUGAUUUAGAAUGAUGCAUUUUAAAGUUCUGCUUAGCCGCACACAUAUAUGUCUGCCAACCUUCCUGUCCUUGCGGAGGCUUUCAGCCCAUGCAGAAGAGGUGAGACUCGAUCCACUCAACCUAACAGGCAUCAGGCUCUUGUCUUGGAUGAUCCCUGCUGCAACGACCUCAGCAGGGCAUUCCCCUAGGAACUGUGUGUCUGCUCUGAGUUCCUUCCCUGUGCACGGCCAGAAUUCUACGUGAGGGCAAAAGCACUGCGUAUUUAAUUUACUUGUAAGCAAACAACGUCUAUGUGUUAGAAAAAAUAAACUCAAACUAUGAAUUUGUAAUUGGUUGAGAUUUCACCUCCUGGCCACACUUCUCUUCCUAUGGAGUUAUUA